UAGGGAAUCUUCCACAAUGGACGCAAGUCUGAUGGAGCAACGCCGCGUGAGUGAAGAAGGUCUUCGGAUCGUAAAGCUCUGUUGUUGGUGAAGAAGGAUAGAGGCAGUAACUGGUCUUUAUUUGACGGUAAUCAACCAGAAAGUCACGGCUAACUACGUGCCAGCAGCCGCGGUAAUACGUAGGUGGCAAGCGUUGUCCGGAUUUAUUGGGCGUAAAGCGAGCGCAGGCGGAAUGAUAAGUCUGAUGUGAAAGCCCACGGCUCAACCGUGGAACUGCAUCGGAAACUGUCAUUCUUGAGUGCAGAAGAGGAGAGUGGAACUCCAUGUGUAGCGGUGGAAUGCGUAGAUAUAUGGAAGAACACCAGUGGCGAAGGCGGCUCUCUGGUCUGCAACUGACGCUGAGGCUCGAAAGCAUGGGUAGCGAACAGGAUUAGAUACCCUGGUAGUCCAUGCCGUAAACGAUGAGCGCUAGGUGUUGGGGGACUUUCCGGUUCUCAGUGCCGCAGC
rnacentral:rRNA from 1 species